AGGUGUUAAACGUUUCUAGAACGUCUCUCGUCGGUUUGAUCUGUCGGCUAAUCGCUCGGACCGAUCGAGAUCGUGGAAUGUCGGAGAACGCGCGUGUAAUUAUCGUGCAAUCGGUAGCGAGUUUGCGAACCGUCCGCGAGUAUCCAUAAAUCAGAAUAAUAGUACGUACGAUCGUUCGAUACUGCCGUCAUUAUCCGUUGUUUAUCGGCGACGUUUAGGUAUAUUACUUCCUUUCCUCGAUAAGAGAAAAACAUGAUCGUUUUCUUUUUAAGAAAUUCGUCUAAUAUUAAUACAACCAUCAUUUUUUAUAUUAUAUAUAUAUAUGUGUUUUUCUUUAAAUCAAUGUUUUUUAAUUGAUUUAAAGCACGAGGAAAAAAAAACAAACCAGUAUGACUGGACCAGUAUGACUGCACCUAUACAAGAGUAAAAAAUUGCAACACGCCGUCUAAAUAAUCGAGUAACAAAGAACAACACAAACAAUUUCUUGCUCAUCACAUAUUCAAAAAACGGCGCGUCCUUGGAUCGGCUUUCACCGGUGACUGCAUCUUUCAGUGUGGCUGUCUGCAAUCAGUCGAAUUUUCUCACUCGAUUUAAACAGUCGGUUCUCGUUCGCUCCCAUCGGGAAAAUUGUUCACGCCGAGGAAAACGCAUCGUCAUAUGUGGUUGCCUUCUGUUGCUCCUCACCCUCGGCACGACGCCGAAAAAAUCCGCCCGGGUGCAAGGUGACGCAUCGUUUUCCUUACAGACUCCCGGCGUUUCCUCGACGCGCCGGAUCCACGUUCGUUCUGUAAACUCGACGGGGAUAAUCUUUUCGCGUUGUAAUGGAACACGUGGAACGCCUCUGUUCGCGCUAGUCGAGAGUCGAAAUUUGUCAAACGUGCCGUAUUACGUCUCCAUAAACGCGGCUCAGAUUUUCACCUUCCCUCUUUCACUCUAUCUAUCUCUCUCUCUCUCUCUCUCUCUCUCUCUCUUGACAACGAAGACAUCAUAUUUCAUAUCGCGAAUCGACCGACUUUAACCAGAAGUAGCAAAAUACCGCCUCUACGCUUUUCACGAGGGGCGAAUGGGAUCGAAUCAGAUUAAAGUUGAAGAUUUGCGGUUGCUUGCGAAAUAAUGGUGAUUUGGCGUAUUAUAAGGCAAACUACUUUCCGAUGAACAAGGGAGUAUAACAGGAGAGAGCGAACAAGUUGAAAUUAGCGCGAAUGUGCCGGAGAACUUUUGAAUUUAAAAUCCGAUUUACCCUCUCAGACUAUUAAUCCGUCCUUAGUACAAGUUCUCGACCUUGUGGCUAUAUUUUACAGGCUGUAAAGACUAAAAAAAGUCUCGUUUUUUAAGCGCCAUUGAGAAAAAAAGAAGCGUGCCGCGAUCGUUUUUGCUUUCUAAGGCAUCGCAACGACUCAAUUAGUUUUCCUCUUCAUCCUAAAUUCUCAUUUUUUUUUUCACCGCCUCUUUUCCGCCACCCUUUGUCUAUAUUUAUUGAUGCCCCACCGAUCUGUCUACGGUUGACCGAACUUUUUUGCGACACAUUCUGGCCACCCGUUGUUGAUGUCACCUGCUCUUUUUUUCGAAACCAAACUCUACUUCUCAAGCCUCUUUUUCCACCCUCUGUUGCGCUAACUUUUACUUUUUUUUUUUCCCGCGUGCCGACACUUAUGAACAGUCGGAUGUAUUGACACGAAUGGUUCCAAAAAAAGAACGACGAGAACAGCGACGGAUUCUAAUAAGGGGAGACGGAAAUGGAAAUACAUAUGUCGGAAGCGGAGGGCGCGGAAAUGUAUAAGCCACCUUGUUUGUCGAUAGAUAUUUAGCAUCAAUCACAAUUAAUUUUUAUUAAUUUUUUUUUUAAAUUUAAAAGGCUCCUUUUUUAACAACAAAUUUUGUGUAUUUUUCAUAAGCAUUUCUUUGUAUUGCUCUUAUCUCUCUUUUCAAGAAGUAAUUUUCUUUUUAAAAAUAUGUAUAUAAACCAAUUAUUUUUCCUCCAAAAAAGCCCAAUCUUUCCUAUAAAGAAAAAACGCGUUUCUCUUUCGCGAGGUUGUUGCUAUGCUAAAUAUAAUCGCCACACGUUUCUCGAUUGAUAAAUAAUUACUUAAGAGACCAUUAUAAAAAGAGAAAUAUAUUUCAGCACAAGAACUACGCAAACCGACGGAUUUUCCCCAAUCCAUGAUAAUUAUCUGGUUAUUCACGCGAAUGGGCGAUGUAUCACGAAUCACAUAGGAGGGACACCCCUAAAGAGCAGAGAGAGAGAGAGAGAGAAAAGGUAAAAAAAGGUAAUUUUUCGGGAGCCGAGUCCCUCUGUGCGAGUCGAGCGGAAAGGAAGCCUCACGGCUGCCAUAUGUCCGCGUUUCUAAAACAUUUUCGCGCUAGGACACCUUUCGCUCUUUCGAAGAAGGCCAUGCGUCCUUCGUUCAGAAAGCGCGGCGUGCGAAAAGACUCAUUAUUCAGACUUAUCGUCGCGUGAUAUCUUUGAUUUUUCCGGUAGAUACGUAUGUAUGUAAGCAAACAUCAGGUUAUUGUGUUUAGAGUCCAUUUCCGCGCAAACGAAUUUUCUACGUACAAUUUCUGCUAAAUCUGCAGCUCCUUUUAUGUGACUCUUGACACACAUCCAUAUAUUUAUAUGAUUUCCUUUGUAAAAAAAUUAUUCAUUAGCUUAUUAAAUAUCUCACAUACUUUAAAUCUCACUAUCUCUGUUGAAGUAAUUGGAGGAAUUUGAAUAAUCAAAAUAUUGUAGGAUAUAAGUUAAACAUUUGUCUCGAGAUAAUUUCUCACAAAAUUGUUCUUAGAAAAAAAAUAUUACAUAAUCUUAUAAAAGAGAUUUUUAGAUAAAGAUUAUUAGAUAAUCUCUUUAUAUUUUAUUAAAUAUGAAUGACAAUAUAAUUUCAUUAAAUAUGUAUAAUAAUGUAAUUUUUACCAUAAUUUUUAUUAUUUAAUUGUCAAUAAUACCGAGAUAGUUACAAAAAACUUUUCACCGUACGAAAAAAAAAAAA